AGAACAAAAUAAUGUUAUCCUUAUUCAAUUAAAAGGAGAAUCAUUUACUUCGAACUUCAACAAUCCGAUUAAACUAACGGAUGCAAUCAACAAAUCAGUUUUCCAAAAGUAUAUAAAAGAAGAUACUUUAAGAGUAUUAGGAAAAGGAAAAGCGAUCAGAUUUGAGGUGCUGACCAACCUCCUUCAAAGAAGUACUACAUCUUGAGACAUACAAAGAUCUUCCUACAAAGGUCAAAAAUUAUAGAUAUGAUAUAAGAAGCAAGAAGAAACAAGAAAAAAAGAUCCAGGGAAUAUAGACUUCUACAUAGUCUAAAACCCUAUAAAAGAAGAAAGAAGAAAGAAGAAGAA
rnacentral:lncRNA from 1 species